rnacentral:rRNA from 1 species
CUACGGGGCGCUGCAGUAAGGAAUAUUGCGCAAUGGAGGCAACUCUGACGCAGCCAUGCCGCGUGCAGGAAGAAGGCCUUAUGGGUCGUAAACUGCUUUUAUUUAGGAAUAAACCCCCGAACGUGUUCGGGGCUGAAGGUACUAAACGAAUAAGCACCGGCUAACUCCGUGCCAGCAGCCGCGGUAAUACGGAGGGGCAAGCGUUAUCCGUGUUUAUUGGGUUUAAAGGGUGCGCAGGCGGGCUAUUAAGUCAGUGGUGAAAUCCCGGGGCUCAACUCCGGAACUGCCAUUGAUACUGAUAGUCUUGAGUUUGGUUGAAGUGGGCGGAAUGUAGCAUGUAGCGGUGAAAUGCAUAGAUAUGCUACAGAACACCAAUCGCGAAGGCAGCUCACUAAGCCAAAACUGACGCUCAUGCACGAAAGCGUGGGGAUCAAACAGGAUUAGAUACCCCAGUAGUC